rnacentral:lncRNA from 1 species
CUAAUUUUUGUCAUGCUCAUGUGAAUGGAAUCUUGCUUUAUCGUGUGCUUUCUACUGAAAUAGAAGUUUUUCAAAUAAUUAUUCCUAGUCAUUUAUAAAUACUUUGGAAGGAAUUCCUACCUUCCGGAGCAGAUCACAACCAUUUCACUAUGUCCCCACAAAGAUACGGUAGAACCAGCAAGUUGAAUAGAUAGUAUUUUUUGGGACACAAUAGAAUCAAUAAUACUGCAUAAGAUUAACCUACACGUAGGAAUUAUAAAGGCGCUCCUUGAUGGAGCAUUUCAAUACAACAUUAUCACAAGAAGAAAAUGAUAUAUAGAACACAAUACCUGGGAGCAGCUUGAUCCGUCUGACCUGCCAUUUUGCCAAGCUACCUGAGAACAAAGGUGCAUACAUACUAUCACACUUUAAUGCGAACUGAAAGUAUGUAUUUGCAAUACAGGCAUUAGGAAUUUAGAUAAGAGUAUUUGCAGAAACCUGAUGUUUAUACAUACAAUCUCAUAGAUUCUCUUAACUCCUAAGGUAGAUGUUCUAGGACUCCUUACACUUCGCUGCGGUGUCCCACAUAUGGCGUCCUCCUUGAUUAGAUUAAAACUGUACUGUAUGUCUGCAUCAGAAUCAUAGAAUGUUCUUACGAUGUUAGUAGUUCUGUAUAACCAGCAUCCUCUGUUCAGUUGAGGUAAUUCCCCUUCACCUUCCAUCAAAAUGACCGUAGGUGUACACCUUGAAAAAUCCCAGAUAGCCAGACAGGUGAACAGUAUGUUACAGAAAUUAAGAGCAUGAAGAAGGCAAUGGGGGUCUAGAUAGGUCAUGUUUUGUGGCUGUGUGCAUUUCUUGCAGAGGUCGGGAGUGGGCUCAAUUAGAAUGUAUCAUCUUGUUGUAUUUGACUGAGUUUUAAUAAAGCUUCCAUUAUUGAGAAAUGGGCAACAUGGAAAAAUAACAUAUUUCAGGCUUAAACUUGCGAUGUGCAACAACAGAAAAGAAGACCACAGCUUUGACGCAGUUUAUUAAGUUUCAUAUAAUAGAAUACUUGAGUUCUGAGGUUUUUGGGCCUGGUUUCCCCUCAAAAACUGGGCCAAGUCUCUUCUUCUUUAAUGAAAACAGGCUCUCCCUGUCCUCUUCUAAGGCUUUUCCUCAAAAAAAGAAUACUUGAGUUCUUUAUGACUAAGCAACUAAAUAGUGUAGUUCACAAGUUUUACUUGGCAUACGUACCAUAAAAUGAAAUUAAAGGUAUGGUUUUUGCAAAAUGGCACACUUGUGUCAAUUAUCAUUUGAACCAGAAGAAAUAUCAGAUUUUUUUAAUUCUCCUUUUGUACAAAUACACGUUUGUUCAUUGCAAAACAGGGAUCCAAUUCACCUGCGGCACACAAGAACCAUUUCCAGAUGCUUCAAAAGAAGAAAAUGUGAAAAACAGGAGGAAAUCUUCUUAUGGAGAGGCAACUAUUUCACAACAUUUCACUUUCUCUUGGAUGAAUGGUCUUCUUGCUAAAGGUGCCAAUAAGCCUUUGAAUGAGGAUGACAUACCAGAUGUUGGUGAGGAGGAAAGUGCCCAACACAUCUCCAGAAUAUUCAGUAAUAUCAUUGUGAAAGGGAAUUUUCCUCUGACAGUUUCAUCGAUUUGUAAAGCAGCCUUCCUUCUCAUUUGGAAGAAGGCGGCACUCAAUGCAACCUUUGGAGUCCUAAGUGUAGUCGCCUCCUUUGUGGGGGCAUACUUAAUCAAGGACUUCGUGGGCUAUCUAAGUGGAGAUAAUGGAUUUGAAAGAGGCUACUCUCUUGUUCUUGUAUUUGUAGGUGCGAAGGCUAUUGAAACUCUUGCUUACAGACAAUGGUUCUUUGGAAGUCUACAGGUUUAUUUGCGCCUAAGAACAUCUCUGAUAUCUCAGGUAUACCAAAAGGUCCUUUAUUUAUCAAGCCAGUCAAGGCAGAAACAUACCUCAGGGGAGAUAAUUAACUAUGUGAGUGUUGACAUCGAGAGGAUUGUUAAUGUUGCAUGGUAUGUGAACAUGGUCUUCAUGAUGCCUAUACAGAUUACACUAGCAACUUAUAUUCUUUGGAAAAAUCUUGGUCUGGGUUCUUUAGCUGGAAUAGCAACAACAGCCAUAAUAAUGCUUUGCAAUAUUCCUUUUACAAGAAUCCAGAAAAGAUUGCACGCAGGAAUUAUGAAAGCAAAAGAUGACAGAAUGGACAUGACAUCUGAAGUUAUAAGAAGCAUGAAGAUCUUAAAACUUCAAGCUUGGGAUAUCCAAUACCUUAGGAAAUUGGAAUAUUUGAGGAAAGGAGAACAUUUGUGGUUGUGGGAAUUUCUAAGACUAAAAGCACUACUAGCAUUUAUGUUCUGGGGAGCACCCGCUGUCAUAUCAAUCAUGACAUUUGCUUCAUGCAUUCUGAUGGGAAUCCCUCUAACAGCUGGAAGAGUGUUGUCCACACUAGCAACUGUGAAUAUACUGAAGGAGCCUAUCUUUAGUCUACCAGAAUUGCUUACUGCCUUUGCACAGGGGAAGAUCUCAGCUGACAGAAUAGUGUCAUAUCUCCAAGAAGAAGAAAUAAGAUCUGAUGCAAUUGAGGAAGUAGCAAUAGACGAAAAUGAAUUUUCUGCAGAGAUUGAUCAGGGAGCAUUCAGUUGGAAAACUGAUGCAAAAAUCCCAACACUUCAAGAUAUACAUGUAAAGAUACACAAAGGGAUGAAAGUGGCAGUAUGUGGAGCUGUUGGGAGUGGAAAAUCUAGCCUGUUGUCAUGUGUACUUGGAGAGAUGCCAAAAGUGCAAGGAACGGUUAAGGUCUUUGGAACCAAAGCAUAUGUUCCACAGUCGUCAUGGAUACUUUCUGGGACUAUUAGAGAAAACAUUCUCUUUGGGAGCCCAUUUGAAACUGAUAGGUAUGAGCGGACAAUUGAAGCAUGUGCCUUGGUUAAAGACAUCGGAGUUUUCUCGGAUGGUGAUAUGACAGAUAUAGGAGAACGGGGAACGACUAUGAGUGGGGGACAAAAGCAACGGAUUCAAAUAGCAAGAGCAGUUUACAAGGAUGCUGAUGUCUACCUGUUUGAUGAUCCUUUCAGUGCUGUAGACCCUCAAACUGGGAGGCAUCUAUACAAGGUCCUUUUCCCCUUAAGAGCCAACAAAAGAAAAUAACACCAGGGUCACAAAAAUAUAAUGCUUUGAUGGUUUCAAAUUUUCCAUAGUUAAAAGAAGUCAUCAUGUUCUCUAGGACAAACAAUGGGCAUCGUAUAUUUGAGAUCUUGUGAUUAUUCAAUAAUCUUGUCCAUAUUAUUAUUGAUAUUUAUUUCUCUCGCUAAAAUAAAUUGCUCAUAUCUAUAUUUUUACUGGCAAGGAGAAGCCCUGUUACAUAACCAUUAACAUUGGCUCUAUACAUUUUUUGCAGAAAUGCCUGAUGGGGGUCCUAAGGGAUAAAACUGUGUUAUACGUCACGCACCAAGUUGAAUUUCUAGUUGAUGCAGACCUUAUUAUGGUAAGCCCCUGAAAAAAAAACUAAAGACAUGAUUGUACUGAACAUUAGGAUAAAUAAUGAUGACUGCUAAAAACAUGCUGUGCAUAUGGGAAUCCUUUUAGAGAAUUUACAGCCCUUUGCAGGCUUGAGGUGUAGAGGUAUCUCCUAGUGUUAGUUUUGUAUAACUUUCAGUAGCUACACCUAUCAGUUCUCAUGAUCCACACUAGGAGAUACUACUACCUCUCAAUAACUCAUAAGGAUCCCAGAAAAGAAACUAGUAUGUUUAACUUGACUGGUUGAAGCAAUAUUGCAGGUGAUGCAAAAUGGAAGGAUAGCACAAGCAGGGAAAUUUCAAGAACUCCAACAGAACAUGGCUUUUGGAGUUAUCUUUGGGGCUCACUUUUGUGCCGUCGAACAAGUUUGUAACGCAAAAGGCACAAGCAUAUAUUUGUCAAAGCAUCAUGCAGAAUCAGAAAAGGUACCAAGCAUCAAUGAGUCCGAUGCAGAAAAGGAAAUCAGCAGCAAAUGGCAAAACACAAAUAUGAUAAAUUGCAGACAAGAAGUAUUUAGAGAUAACACUGAAGAAGGGAAAUUGCUGCAGGGUGAAGAAAGAGAGAAUGGAUACAUUAGCAAGCAAGUGUAUUGGUCAUACCUCACAGCUGCUCGAGGUGGUCUUUUCAUUCCUAUGAUAAUUGCAGCACAAUGCUUCUUUCAGAUAUUUGAAGUGGGAAGCAACUAUUGGAUGGCAUC